UUUCUGUCAGAUAAUUGGUGAAAUCUAGCUAUUUUAAUUUUUUGUAUUAUUUUAUUAGUUAAAAAUGAAUCAAGUAUCAAAAUCAAGAUUAAAAAAAAUACAUCAAGUUCCAGUUGCUUGAAUUUUGGAGCUGAGAAAUACUGCCCCUGUGUGUUAGUAGUCAAGUGCACCACUGGGUCUCACACACCUAUACAUGCCUAGAAUAAGACAUAGAUGCAAACAGUUUUGUUUAUUAAACUAUUAUCUUUUAAAAGAUGCUUCAUUUUUUACAUAUAAAAUGUAUUUUUUCAUUCAGAACAUCAUAGGUCUGAAUACACAGGCUUCAGUGUGCAUUUUGUUUAUGGACUGGCAAUGAUUUAUUCAUACAAACAGUUCUAAUUUCUACCUUCACCACAUUUCCAACAAGUAACUUUGUAGAAAUGAUCCAGAAGCUAAGGGCCUGUGUUGGCAGUGGCCUGUUAAACAGAAAAUAAGUUUACAGAAGCUUAGCAAGUGUCUCUUCCUUUUUAAUUUCCUUUUUUGUUUGUUUUGAUGUUUUGUCUUAUUUUGGUUUGGUUUGGUUUGCUUUGGUUUGGUUUGGUUUGGUUUGGUUUGGUUUGGUUUGGUUUGGUUUGGUUUUGGUUUUUGAGACAGGGUUUCUCUGUGUAGCACUGGCUGUCCUAGAACUCAUUCUAUAGACCAGGUUGGUCUCAAACUCACAGAUCUACCUGACUCUGCCUCUCGAAUUCUGACCACCUACCUUCUCAUUUUAAAUAGAUCUUUGUAGGGAAUGUCUGUUGUAUAAUACCUUGCAAGUUUCUUCUUGGUAACUGCCAGGAAAGCAAUUUUCCUUACUCAGACAUACUUCAUGGUAGAGUCUAAUCCAUCAUCCUCCUUUGUUUACUAAACAACUUUCUCAUCCAUCCUUUACCUUUCUGGUAAAUUUUUGCAGCCUGAUACUGGAUAUACAACAGCGAACAAAACAGGCAAAGUCCCAGAUCUGAUGGAGCCUGCAUUCCAGAAGAAUUAGGUACCAAUAACCAAUAUGCUGUGUGGCCACCCAGAGGAAGACACACACCCAUGGUCUCUGUUUACUGGACACCUCCACUCAGAUGGCUAAUAGACCAUAAUAUACACUGAAUAAGCCUGAUAAUCCCAACCUGUGCUGCCAUAAUAUUCUUCUAUUCUGCUAAAUAUAGCUCCAUCUUUUGGCUAUUCAAGGCAAACACUUGGAAGUCAUUUCUCAUUCUUUUCUGUUACACUUUCCACCAACAUCUCAAUAAGGCGAUUAUUGAGAGCAUCAUCUGCCCCCUCGGCAAAUUGUGCAGAAGACGGUGGCACUUUUCUACCCACUUCCUAUCUCUGUGCUAUCAUGUCUGGUCAGUGUAACUGUAGUUGGUUCCCUUCCCGUCAAGUUGUUUCCUGCCUUGCACACAACCACACUCAUGAGAGACUGUACUUCACCUACACUGAUUGUGUAAAUCCAGGACAGCCAGCAUCCUUGGGUGGUAAGAGAGGGCUCUAAGAAAGCACUAGGUAACCAAGAGCCCUGUCCUCAUGUGUCCAGGCCAAAAGCUUGUGUGCCCAGAGCUGACACCCAUGGUUUGGAAAUGAUGAAGAAAAUUAACCUUAUCCUGUCACAAAGAUGGGAAAGUGUUUGUGUCCCCAGUUGUAGGUUCUCUUGAUGCCUUCCAGGGUUUGUGGAAACAAAGCAGUUCAUUUUGACCUAUUCUGGUUAGAAUCAGUUUUCCACCUAAAUUAUCUUGAUUCAUCUUUUUCUAUUGCUGGGUUGAUUUGUUUGCUUGCUUUCUUUAGAGCAGUUUAAAGUGCACAAGAAAAGCAAUCCGAAAUUGUAUUAGUUCUCUGUGCUCUCUUCCUCCCUUUCCACCCAGUUUCCCCAUCAUUUACACUUGGCAUUGGUGCAGUACCCUUGGUGCAGGGAAUGGGCAAGUGCUGCUGUGGUUGAUUACUGAGAUCCAUAGUUUGCACUGGGGCUCCCCCUUUGUACUCUACAUCUUGUGGUUUUCCCAGGCGUAGGCUUGAAUGUCCCGCUGCGAUACCACUCUCCUCUUCCUUCUCCCUCCCUCCCUCCAUCCCAGACCCCUUGGCUUAGCUUCUCACUCAACACAAAUACAGAUCUACUGUCUACUUUUCUGUCAGAUUGCACAAGCUAGAGAGCCUUUGAAAGGAGGGAAUUUAAAUUGAGAGAAUGUUUCCACAAGAUCAAGCUAUAGGCAAUAAAACAGUGAUAGAUGGGAGAUGGUUCAAACCACUGUGGGUGGGGCUAUCCCUGGGCUGGAGGUUCUGGGUUCUAUAAGAAAGCAGGCUGAGCAAGCCAUGAAGAGAAAAGUCAGUUAGCCACACCGUCCAAGGCCUCUGCAUCAGCUCCUGCCUCCAGAUUCCUGCCCUGUUUGAGUUCCUGUCCUGACUGUGAUAUAGAAGCAUAAGACAAGUAAAAAACCAUUUCUUCCCCAAGUUGUUUCUGGUCAUGGUGUUUCAUCACAGAAAUAGAAACCCUGACUCAGACGGUGAACACCCACCACGUUACAUAGUACUAACAGCCAGAAACACGAAAUGAGAUGUGUAAAUAAAUAAAUGCAAUGGAAUACUUAGUGGUGACUCAGCAGACUGGAACUAAGGGCUCAGGAGUCAGAAGUCUUUUGGUGUCAGUUGGUCAACACAUUGUCAGGCCCUUCUUGCACCUGUUCAUGUCUGUGGAAAUAAAAUGGAAGUCUAACAUCAU
rnacentral:lncRNA from 1 species